rnacentral:misc_RNA from 1 species
GGCAUCAUUCCAGUCACCUGUAUUAAGUGAAAGUUGCUUGUAAAAAACAUGCCUCUGCAAUUUUAUGGCUAUAAAUCAACAAAAUUAUUUGCUUUAAUAAGCCCCUUCUCAUAAUAUAAAAUUCGUGUGAAUUUCAGCAGAAUUGCACUUCAUAAGCUUUAGUUAUUUCACUAAAUAGUGGGUUGAUGCACAUUAAACAAAAAAAGAUCCUGAGUACGAGUCUUUGCCAACAAGUUAUGGAAUUCUAACAU